rnacentral:lncRNA from 1 species
AACAUUAUCAACCUAUACAACUAAACACAACAUUAUCAACCUGCUACAACAUUAUCAACCUAUACAACUAAACACAACAUUACCAACCUGCUAAAACUCAACACAACAUUACCAACCUGCUACAACUAAAUACAACAUUAUCAACCUGCUACAACAUUAUCAACCUGUACAACUAAACACAACAUUAUCGACCUGCUACAACUAAACACAACAUUAUCGACCUGCUACAACUAAACACAACAUUACAACCUGCUACAACUAAACACAACAUUAUCGACCUGCUACAACUAAACACAACAUUAUCGACCUGCUACACAGAGAGGAACCAAGCAUAAAUGUCUUUUUCCAUUGAUUGAAAAUAGCUGUCACUGCAGGGGGAUGUUUGUAGCCAUCUUUUCAUUUUAUUUUCUCCUUCAUGUGGGAACAUCUAUAAUAUUAGACCCAUCUCUUUAUUCUCUUGAAUGACCUGUACAGACCAGGGUCUGUACCGACCCCGAGCUGGACUGAGGAGGUUUUAUACAGACCAGGGUCUGUACCGACCCCGAGCUGGACUGAGGAGGUUUUAUACAGACCAGGGUCUGUGAUCAACCAAGAUGGACUGAGGAGGUUUUAUACAGACCAGGAUCUGUACCGACCCAGAACUGAACUGAGGAGGUUUUAUACAGACCAGGGUCUGUACCGACCCAGAGCUGGACUGAGGAGGUUUUAUACAGACCAGGGUCUGUGAUCAACCAAGAUGGACUGAGGAGGUUUUAUACAGAUCAGGGUCUGUAUCGACCCCGAGCUGGACUGAGGAGGUUUUAUACAGACCAGGGUCUGGACUGAGAAGGUUUUAUACAGACCAGGGUCUGUACCGACCCAGAACUGGACUGAGGAGGUUUUAUACAGACCAGGGUCUGGACUGAGGAGGUUUUAUACAGACCAGGGUCUGUACCGACCCAGAACUGGACUGAGGAGGUUUUAUACAGAACAGGGUCUGUACCGACCCCGAGCUGGACUGAGGAGGUUUUAUACAGACCAGGGUCUGUACCGAGCUGGACUGAGGAGGUUUUAUACAGACCAGGGUCUGUAUCAACCCCGAGCUGGACUGAGGAGGUUUUAUACAGACCAGGGUCUGUACCGACCCCGAGCUGGACUGAGGAGGUUUUAUACAGACCAGGGUCUGUAUCGACCCAGAGCUGGACUGAGGGGUUUUAUACAGACCAGGGUCUGUACUGAGCUGGACUGAGGAGGUUUUAUACAGACCAGGAUCUGUACCGACCCAGAACUGGACUGAGGAGGUUUUAUACAGACCAGGGUCUGUAUCGACCCAGAGCUGGACUGAGGAGGUUUUAUACAGACCAGGGUCUGUACCGACCCAGAACUGGACUGAGGAGGUUUUAUACAGACCAGGGUCUGUACCGACCCAGAGCUGGACUGAGGAGGUUUUAUACAGACCAGGGUCUGUACCGACCCAGAGCUGGACUGAGGAGGUUUUAUACAGACCAGGGUCUGUACCGAGCUGGACUGAGGAGGUUUUAUACAGACCAGGGUCUGUAUCAACCCCGAGCUGGACUGAGGAGGUUUGAUACAGACCAGGGUCUGUACCGACCCAGAGCUGGACUGAGGAGGUUUUAUACCUGGUCUGUGUUCAACCAAGAUGGAAGAGGAACGACUCAAACAUCCGAAUCUUAGUGCCAAGGUUACCGUGGAAACAGAGGAGGGGAACUGAUUUGU